rnacentral:rRNA from 1 species
UACGGAGGGGCUAGCGUUGUUCGGAAUUACUGGGCGUAAAGCGCACGUAGGCGGCUUUGUAAGUUAGAGGUGAAAGCCCGGGGCUCAACUCCGGAAUUGCCUUUAAGACUGCAUCGCUAGAAUUGUGGAGAGGUGAGUGGAAUUCCGAGUGUAGAGGUGAAAUUCGUAGAUAUUCGGAAGAACACCAGUGGCGAAGGCGACUCACUGGACAUGUAUUGACGCUGAGGUGGCGAAAAGCGUGGGGAGCAAACAGG